rnacentral:lncRNA from 1 species
UUUUGUAUAUUGUUAUCAAGAAAUGAGAAGAUUGACAGUGUUAUUAGUGUUCUUGUUUUGCUAAAUUUUGUAUUUUGUUAUCAAGAAAUGAGAAGAUUGAUAGUGUUAUUAGUGUUUUUGUUUUGAAAAUUUUUGUAUAUUGUUAUCAAGAAAUGAGAAGAUUGAUAGUGUUAUUAGUGUUCUUGUUUUGCUAAAUUUGAAUAUUGUUAUCAAGAAACGAGAAGAUUGAUAGUGUUAUUAGUGUUUUUGUUUUGCUAAAUUUUGUAUAUUGUUAUCAAGAAAAGAGAAGAUUGAUAGUGUUAUUAGUGUUCUUGUUUUGCUAAAUUUUGUAUAUUGUUAUCAAGAAAUGAGAAGAUUGAUAUCGUUAUUAGUAUUCUUGUUUUGCUAAAUAUUGUAUAUUGUUAUCAAGAAAUGAGAAGAUUGAUAGUGUUAUUAGUGUUCUUGUUUUGCUAAAUUUGGUAUAUUGUUAUCAAGAAAUGAGAAGAUUGAUAGUGUUAUUAGUGUUCUUGUUUUUCUAAAUUGCUAAAUUUUGUAUUUUGUUAUCAAGAAAUGAGAAGAUUGAUAGUGUUAUUAGUGUUUUUGUUUUGAAAAAUUUUGUAUAUUGUUAUCAAGAAAUGAGAAGAUUGAUAGUGUUAUUAGUGUUCUUUUUUUUGCUAAAUUUUGUAUAUUAUUAUCAAGAAACGAGAAGAUUGAUAGUGUUAUUAGUGUUUUUGUUUUGCUAAAUUUUGUAUAUUGUUAUCAAGAAAUGAGAAGAUUGAUAUUGUUAUUAGUAUUCUUGUUUUGCUAAAUUUUGUAUAUUGUUAUCAAGAAAUGAGAAGAUUGACAGUAUUAUUAGUGUUCUUGUUUUGCUAAAUUUUGUAUUUUGUUAUCAAGAAAUGAGAAGAUUGAUAGUGUUAUUAGGGUUUUUGUUUUGAUAAAUUUUGUAUAUUGUUAUCAAGAAAUGUGAAGAUUGAUAGUGUUAUUAGUGUUCUUUUGAAUUUAUGAUGGCUUCAAAGGCCACACCACUGCUUCCUAUAUUCGUACGCACAUCUUUAGGACUCUAUUACGUGAGUUAUUUCUUUGCUUCUUUUUUCUUAGCAUACUAAUCUGUAUAUUGUUAUCAAGAAAUGAGAAGAUUGN